rnacentral:rRNA from 2 species
UCCGUAGGUGAACCUGCGGAGGGAUCAUUACAGAGUUAUCCAACUCCCAAACCCAUGUGAACUUAUCUCUUUGUUGCCUCGGCGCAAGCUACCCGGGACCUCGCGCCCCGGGCGGCCCGCCGGCGGACAAACCAAAACUCUUGUUAUCUUAGUUGAUUAUCUGAGUGUCUUAUUUAAUAAGUCAAAACUUUCAACAACGGAUCUCUUGGUUCUGGCAUCGAUGAAGAACGCAGCGAAAUGCGAUAAGUAAUGUGAAUUGCAGAAUUCAGUGAAUCAUCGAAUCUUUGAACGCACAUUGCGCCCAUUAGUAUUCUAGUGGGCAUGCCUGUUCGAGCGUCAUUUCAACCCCUAAGCACAGCUUAUUGUUGGGAACCUACGGCUUCGUAGUUCCUCAAAGACAUUGGCGGAGUGGCAGUGGUCCUCUGAGCGUAGUAAUCUUUUAUCUCGCUUCUGUUAGGUGCUGCCCCCCCGGCCGUAAAACCCCCAAUUUUUUCUGGUUGACCUCGGAUCAGGUAGGAAUACCCGCUGAACUUAAGCAUAUCAAUAAGCGGAGGA